rnacentral:rRNA from 1 species
GUGUCAGCCGCCGCGGUAAUACGUAGGGGGCGAGCGUUGUCCGGAUUUACUGGGCGUAAAGAGCGCGUAGGCGGCCCGUUUAGUUGGCUGUGAAAUCUCCCGGCCCAACUGGGAGCGGUCGGCCAAGACUGGCGGGCUUGAGUGCGGUAGAGGAAGGUGGAAUUCCCGGUGUAGUGGUGAAAUGCGUAGAGAUCGGGAGGAACACCGGUGGCGAAGGCGGCCUUCUGGGCCGUUACUGACGCUGAGGCGCGAAAGCGUGGGGAGCGAACUGAAUUAGAUACUCAGGUAGUCCACGCCCUAAACGAUGGACGCUAGGUGUCGGGGGUAUCGACCCCUCCGGUGCCGAAGCUAACGCAUUAAGCGUCCCGCCUGGGGAGUACGGCCGCAAGGCUAAA